rnacentral:rRNA from 1 species
AGAGCGAACGCUGGCGGCAGGCCUAACACAUGCAAGUCGAACGGACCCUUCGGGGUUAGUGGCGGACGGGUGAGUAACACGUGGGAACGUGCCUUUUGGUUCGGAAUAGCUCCUGGAAACGGGUGGUAAUGCCGAAUGUGCCCUUCGGGGGAAAGAUUUAUCGCCAUUAGAGCGGCCCGCGUCUGAUUAGCUAGUUGGUGAGGUAAAGGCUCACCAAGGCUACGAUCAGUAGCUGGUCUGAGAGGAUGACCAGCCACAUUGGGACUGAGACACGGCCCAAACUCCUACGGGAGGCAGCAGUGGGGAAUCUUGCGCAAUGGGCGAAAGCCUGACGCAGCCAUGCCGCGUGAAUGAUGAAGGUCUAGGAUUGUAAAAUUCUUUCACCGGGACACAAUGACGGUACCGAGAAGAAGCCCGGACUAACUCGUGCCAGCAAGCCGC